rnacentral:rRNA from 1 species
AUUGAACGCUGGCGGCAGGCCUAACACAUGCAAGUCGAGCGCGCGGCGGACGGGUGAGUAAUGUCUGGGAAACUGCCUGAUGGAGGGGGAUAACUACUGGAAACGGUAGCUAAUACCGCAUACCAUCGGAUGUGCCCAGAUGGGAUAAGCUAGUAGGUGGGGUAAAUGCUCACCUAGGCGACGAUCCCUAGCUGGUCUGAGAGGAUGACCAGCCACGCUGGAACUGAGACACGGUCCGGACUCCUACGGGGGGCAGCAGUGGGUAAUAUUGCACAAUUGGCGCAAGCCUGAUGCAGCCAUGCCGCGUGUAUGAAGAGGGCCUUAGGGUUGUAAAGUACUGUCAGCGGGGAGGCGUUACCCGCAGAAGAAGCACCGGCUAACUCCGUGCCAGCAGCCGCGGUAAUAC